AGAGUUUGAUCCUGGCUCAGGAUGAAUUUUGGCGGCGCGCCUAACACAUGCAAGUCGAACGGCACCUGCCCUCGGGCAGAAGCGAGUGGCGAACGGCUGAGUAACACGUGGAGAACCUGCCCCCUCCCCCGGGAUAGCCGCCCGAAAGGACGGGUAAUACCGGAUACCCCGGGGUGCCGCAUGGCGCCCGGGCUAAAGCCCCGACGGGAGGGGAUGGCUCCGCGGCCCAUCAGGUAGACGGCGGGGUGACGGCCCACCGUGCCGACAACGGGUAGCCGGGUUGAGAGACCGACCGGCCAGAUUGGGACUGAGACACGGCCCAGACUCCUACGGGAGGCAGCAGUGGGGAAUCUUGCGCAAUGGGGGGAACCCUGACGCAGCGACGCCGCGUGCGGGACGGAGGCCUUCGGGUCGUAAACCGCUUUCAGCAGGGAAGAGUCAAGACUGUACCUGCAGAAGAAGCCCCGGCUAACUACGUGCCAGCAGCCGCGGUAAUACGUAGGGGGCGAGCGUUAUCCGGAUUCAUUGGGCGUAAAGCGCGCGUAGGCGGCCCGGCAGGCCGGGGGUCGAAGCGGGGGGCUCAACCCCCCGAAGCCCCCGGAACCUCCGCGGCUUGGGUCCGGUAGGGGAGGGUGGAACACCCGGUGUAGCGGUGGAAUGCGCAGAUAUCGGGUGGAACACCGGUGGCGAAGGCGGCCCUCUGGGCCGAGACCGACGCUGAGGCGCGAAAGCUGGGGGAGCGAACAGGAUUAGAUACCCUGGUAGUCCCAGCCGUAAACGAUGGACACUUGGGGUGGGGGGGACGAUCCCCCCGUGCCGCAGCCAAAGCAUUAAGCGUCCCACAUAGGGAGUACGGCCGUAAAGGCUAAAACUCAAAGGAAUUGACGGGGGCCCGCACAAGCAGCGGAGCAUUGUGGCUUAAUUAGAAGCAACGCGAAGAACCUUACCAGGGCUUGACAUAUGGGUGAAGCGGGGGAGACCCCGUGUCCGAGAGGAGCCCAUACAGGUGGUGCAUGGCUGUCGUCAGCUCGUGUUGUGAGAUGUUGGGUUAAGUCCCGCAACGAGCGCAACCCCCGCUGCGUGUUGCCAUCGGGUGAUGCCGGGAACCCACGCGGGACCGCCGCCGUCAAGGCGGAGGAGGGCGGGGACGACGUCAAGUCAUCAUGCCCCUUAUGCCCUGGGCUGCACACGUGCUACAAUGGCCGGUACAGAGGGAUGCCACCCCGCGAGGGGGAGCGGAUCCCGGAAAGCCGGCCCCAGUUCGGAUUGGGGGCUGCAACCCGCCCCCAUGAAGUCGGAGUUGCUAGUAAUCGCGGAUCAGCAUGCCGCGGUGAAUGCGUUCCCGGGCCUUGCACACA
rnacentral:rRNA from 1 species